rnacentral:tRNA from 1 species
GGGAGAGUGGCGGAACUGGCAGACGCGCACGACUCAAAAUCGUGUGGAGAAAUCCGUGAGGGUUCAACUCCCUCCUCUCCCA